UACGUAGGGUGCGAGCGUUGUCCGGAAUUAUUGGGCGUAAAGAGCUUGUAGGUGGCUCGUCGCGUCGGGAGUGAAAACCCGCGGCUUAACCGCGGGCCUGCUUUCGAUACGGGCGGGCUAGAGUUCGGCAGGGGAGACUGGAAUUCCUGGUGUAGCGGUGGAAUGCGCAGAUAUCAGGAGGAACACCGGUGGCAAAGGCGGGUCUCUGGGCCGAUACUGACACUGAGAAGCGAAAGCGUGGGGAGCGAACAGG
rnacentral:rRNA from 1 species